AACGAACGCUGGCGGCAUGCCUAACACAUGCAAGUCGAACGAGACCUUCGGGUCUAGUGGCGCACGGGUGCGUAACACGUGGGAAUUUGCCUCGGGGUAUGGAAUAACUCAGGGAAACUUGAGCUAAUACCAUAUAAUGUCUUCGGACCAAAGAUUUAUCGCCCUGAGAUAAGCCCGCGUAGGAUUAGCUAGUUGGUGGGGUAAAGGCUCACCAAGGCGACGAUCCUUAGCUGGUCUGAGAGGAUGAUCAGCCACACUGGGACUGAGACACGGCCCAGACUCCUACGGGAGGCAGCAGUGGGGAAUAUUGGACAAUGGGCGAAAGCCUGAUCCAGCAAUGCCGCGUGAGUGAUGAAGGCCUUAGGGUUGUAAAGCUCUUUACCCGGGAUGAUAAUGACAGUACCGGGAGAAUAAGCUCCGGCUAACUCCGUGCCAGCAGCCGCGGUAAAGUGACUACUG
rnacentral:rRNA from 1 species